rnacentral:lncRNA from 1 species
UUGGAGAGGACGCAGCUCUGCAAGCAAGCACCGUGCACCCAGAGCCUGCGGCUGGAACCUUCUUGGCUCCGGCUCCACUUCCCGCUGCUUUGGAAAAUGUCUCCAUCCAUCUGGCACCGCAGGACGUCUCCUUCCUCCACAAUAGCUACUGGCCCUGCUUCCUCCAGGCCUCCGAGAGGACAUGCUGGCACCGCACCCCAUGUCAGGCUGGUGUGACAUGAAGAGCAAGCCACUCCGCCACCUCCUACAGCUGGAGAAGGC